rnacentral:misc_RNA from 1 species
AGUUAACUAUUUUCAUGCUCUGACAUGACACAACUUUGCUGCACGACUUUCAAAGAAGUAACGGGUAGUUUUUUUAAAAUUAAAGAGCCGCUAGAUAUACUUUUUAGCAAACGUUUUUAGCAAUGAAAAGCACUUAUAAAAGGCAUCAUUUACUAUAAUUUUAUCUAAUGAAAGUGUUCCUAUUCAUUGAGAAUUUAUUGUGCUAUUUUUAAAGCUUUCAUUCAAAUACUCUUGAGUUUGAGGGGCAAAUCUUCUCUCUCAAUCUUUUAGCAUUAAAUUCUG